rnacentral:misc_RNA from 1 species
AACGCACAUUGCGCCCUUUGGCAUUCCUUAGGGCAUGCCUGUUCGAGCGUCAUGUAAACCCUCAAGCUCAGCUUGGUGAUGGGCGCCUGUCCCGCCUCCGCGCGGCGACUCGCCUCAAACGGAUUUGGCAGCCGGCAACUCGGGCGUUUGGCGCAGCAGAAACGCGUCUCGACCCCGGGGGCGGGCUCCCAGCAAGCCACCUUCAUGACCUUUUGACCUCGGAUCAGGUAGGGAUACCCGCUGAACUUAA